rnacentral:rRNA from 1 species
CAAUAGCGUAUAUUAAAGUUGUUGCAGUUAAAAAGCUCGUAGUUGGAUUUCUGGUUGAAGCGACCGGUCGGGCGUUGAUUCGUCUGCACUGGAGUCGGUUUUGGCCAUCCUCUAGGAAAGUGCGUCUGGUAUUAAGUUAUCGGGCGUAUGAUCCUGGUCUUUUACUGUGAAAAAAUUAGAGUGUUUAAGGCAGGCCUUCGCCUUGAAUACAUUAGCAUGGAAUAAUAAGAUAGGACUUUGGUCUAUUUUGUUGGUUUGCAGACCGAAGUAAUGAUUAAUAGGGAUAGUUGGGGGUAUUUAUAUUCCGAUGUCAGAGGUGAAAUUCUUAGAUUUUCGGAAGAUAAACUUAUGCGAAAGCAUUUACCAAGGAUGUUUUCAUUA